UACGGGGGGAGCAAGCGUUGUUCGGAUUUACUGGGCGUAAAGGGCGCGUAGGCGGCGUAACAAGUCACUUGUGAAAUCUCCGGGCUUAACCCGGAGCGGCCAAGUGAUACUGUUGUGCUAGAGUGCGGAAGGGGCUACUGGAAUUCUCGGUGUAGCGGUGAAAUGCGCAGAUAUCGGGAAGAACACCCGUGGCGAAGGCGGCUCUCUGGGACGGUACUGACGCUGAGACGCGAAAGCGUGGGGAGCGAACAGG
rnacentral:rRNA from 1 species